GACGAACGCUGGCGGCGUGCCUAACACAUGCAAGUCGAGCGGGGUCCAACCAGUGGCAACACUGGGGACGACCUAGCGGCGAACGGGUGAGUAACACGUGAGAAACUUGCCCCGGAGUUCGGGAUAACCCGAGGAAACUCGAGCUAAUACCGAAUGCCCUCUUCUGAUCGCAUGGUCGGAUGAGGAAAGACUCAUCGCUCCGGGAGAGUCUCGCGGCCUAUCAGCUAGUUGGUGGGGUAACGGCCCACCAAGGCAUCGACGGGUAGCUGGUCUGAGAGGACGAUCAGCCACACUGGGACUGAGACACGGCCCAGACUCCUACGGGAGGCAGCAGUGGGGAAUCUCGCGCAAUGGGCGAAAGCCUGACGCAGCAACGCCGCGUGCGGGAUGAAGGCCUUCGGGUUGUAAACCGCUUUCAGCAGGGACGAAAUUGACGGUACCUGCAGAAGAAGCCCCGGCCAACUACGUGCCAGCCGCCGCCGUAAAAC
rnacentral:rRNA from 1 species